rnacentral:rRNA from 1 species
GAUGAACGCUGGCGGCGUGCCUAACACAUGCAAGUCGAGCGGACAGAUGAGGCGCUUGCUCCUCUUACGUUACGGGCGGAUGGGUGAUUAACACGUGGCUACCCGACCUAUGAGACUGGGAUAACUUCGGGAAACCGGAGCUAAUAUCGGAUAUUAUAUUGAACGGCAUGGUUCAAUAGUGAUAGAGGUUUUUGCUGUCACUUGUACAUGGAUCCUCGCCGUAUUGGCUAGUUGGUAGGGUAACGGCUUACCAAGGCAACGAUGCGUAGCCGACCUGAGAGGGUGAUCGGCCACACUGGAACUGAGACACGGUCCAGACUCCUACGGGAGGCAGCAGUGGGGAAUCUUCCGCAAAGGGCGAAAGCCUGACGGAGCAACGCCGCGUGUGUGAUGAAGGUCUUCGGAUCGUAAAGCUCUGUUAGUAGGGAAGAACAGAUGUGAGAGUAACUAUGGACGUCUUGACGGUACCUAAACAAAAAGCCACGGCUAACUACGUG